UUGUUUGCAAUAAAUGUUUUUGUGUUAACAGUACUUUCACAUGGACGUGUCCUUUUGCAGUGGCGUAGUAAGGUAGGUACCUGUGGGCCCGGGUUCAAGUAUAUUGUUAUAACUCUGCCAUGCGCACCGCCAUCCAGGGUAGUGCUAGAAGGUGCGCACUGUGAUAGACUAGACCUAAAAGGAUGUCAACAUUAGAGAGGAGAACGAUUUCCGCCCAAGUAGAGAGCCAAUAUGGAGAGAUUGAGCCUAAGAUAGAUAUUGUUUUGUGUACCUGUGAUGUCGUGUAAAUAAACGUCUAUGUCUCGUUGAGUUGCCUCACUUAAGUUAUUACAAUAUAGGCCUAUUGGUAGGUCCCUCCCUCAAUAAGACAAAAAAUCGAUUAGUCUACAUGUAUUGGUACAUUUACCAAAGGUCAAUCUAAGGCGUAGUAAUGGAUAUAUGCACUUCACUGCCUAUAAAAUGCUUCCUAAUGGUGUGCCUCUCAAAUAGCCUCUGACAACCAGUUCAACUCCUGGUCUUCUUGUGUGUCUCAGAUAUUGAGUCCUGUGGAACUCUGCACUCAAACCUCUGCUGCCUUGCAGCUAUACACAUAGGUGGGUAGCAGGUCAAGACUAAUGAAUCCCUCGUGCCCAAAGCUUACUGGUUUAGGCGCCAGUUACUUGCCUUUGCCCCUUCUCCUGACAGUGAAAACAGUUCCACGGACAUUAGGCCUAUCUGAGCCACACGUGAAAAAUCAAGAAAUACAAGAGAAACUGCUCUAUGAAAAAACUUUUGCAAUGAUACUUUAAAGCAAAUUAAUUAAUAAAUAUUUCAUCUUUGAAGGACUAUGCCUACUUCAUAGAACAACAAAUUCCUGUAUGAAACAUAAUAUUUAAUCAAUAAAAAAAAUAUAGAUAUAUAUAACUUAUAAUGCAGCUUUAAUUACUUUUUUAACUUUUUGAUUCACUAUAGUUAGAAAUUAGUUUUAAAAAAAAUGAUAAUAAAUUUGCAAAAAUGCAGUACAAUUUAAGUAGGGGUCUUCUGAAAACCAGAAAACAUGGCCAAGGGUCUCCGAGACUAAAUAAAAUUGGGAACCACUGCUAUAUACAAAUACAAUCAUCCCAGCUACACACUGGCAGAGCUUGCGACGACGCAUAUUCCAAACUAUAGAGGCACUUGCUGUUCCUUUGGUUGUAUCAGCUGCGUGAAGAGGAGUCAAUAGUUUUGAGAUCUGAGUCUGACAGACGGAGAGAUUGCACAAACCUAAUAGCGGCUUUUGGAUGCUAAAUGAACAAUAACACUAAAACAAUAACAUAAAACAAAUCAGAAAGGAAAUGUAUUUGUUUACUUCUUGGAUUAAAAACAUAUUCUAUUCUUAGACUAAUUACAGACUGGUGUCUGUCAAAUAAACUGAAUAUAUAUGAGAUAUAAUAGGAAGUCAGAAUCACAAAUGUAUCAAUGUCCACUAUCUACAAUAGAUGCCACAAGUCUUCACCCAAAUAAAUAUAGCAAUAAUUUGAUUUUUUAAUCAAUUAAAAAUUUGAUUCAUAUUAUUCAUACAAUAAAUAUAUGAAAUUUAAAGAAACAAAAAAAUAAAUAUUAGCAAAGAAUAAAUAUGGAGGGAGUUUUGUUCUUAUUCUAAAAAUAAUAUAAACAAUUAUGUACACAUACACGCUAAAUACCAAUUGUUUGUAUAGUUAUGUUAUGACUAGGAUAGAAUAUAAAAACAACUAUUUAAAAUGAUACAGUAGGGAGUGACUAAAAAUGGCACUGAAGUUAAAUACAAAUUUAGAGAAACUGGUGAUUUGAAUUCAACACCGAUUGCCUCAAGAAAAAUAUUUGGUAUUUAUACUUUUGUUUUUCGAUCAUCACUCUGAGCAUACCAAAUUAUAAAACCAUCAUUAAAGUAAUUGAUCAUUGUGAUUCUAGAUUUCAGCUUUAUUGAAAACUGGUUUUCAAAUAUAUUUUUUUAAAUGUAAUUCAACCAUUUUGUACUUUAUCUGUUUAUUAAAGAUUAAAGUAAGAUUUAAACUAAUCAAACAAAACAAAAAAAAUCACAAGUUUAACAAGAUUCUAAAAAAAUGUUGAUCAACUAUUCAAUCAAAAGCAAAAAAAAAAUAGUUCAAAGGUUCUCAUCACUAGAUAUAAGGGAGACAAUGGUGAGAAAUAAAUACUUUUAUUUUUUUAAUAUUUUUUUAAACAAUAUUUCUGAAAGAAAGUUAAUGACCCUAAAAAAUCUGUGCACCAAAAAUCUUGAAUAGAAAAACUUCUUACGAACAAAAAAAAGACUGAACUGUAUUUAUGUGAUCAUUCAUUUCUAGCUAGGAAGAAAACAAAUAAGUCAAUGAAGCUUUUUAUUUCAAUUUCACAUACAGUGUACAAUAGGAAUUCCAUCAAGUCACUUUACACAUAGGAUUGUUGUCAAAAUUCAUUAUUUUACAAAGGUUUUUUUUUUAAUGGAAUUUUUUUUAAGGGGCCAUAUUUUUUUUUUACACCUUUCAGAAUGUAUUUGCAUCAUACCUAAGUAAAUUGUUAAAAAUAAAAAACUCAAUUUUGAUUAAAAAUAAAAUUAAUGAUCCAGUUCAAUGAAUAACUAUUCUGUAAGAAAUCUAAAUAAUGAUUU